UACGGGGGGAGCAAGCGUUGUUCGGAUUUACUGGGCGUAAAGGGCGCGUAGGCGGUCAGCACAAGUCAGUUGUGAAAUCUCCGGGCUUAACUCGGAAAGGUCAACUGAUACUGUGCGACUAGAGUGCGGAAGGGGCAACUGGAAUUCUCGGUGUAGCGGUGAAUGCGUAGAUAUCGAGAGGAACACCUGCGGCGAAGGCGGGUUGCUGGGCCGACACUGACGCUGAUGCGCGAAAGCCAGGGGAGCGAACGGG
rnacentral:rRNA from 1 species